UACGUAGGCAGCGAGCGUUGUUCGGAGUUACUGGCGUAAAGGGUGUGUAGGCGGUUCUUUAAGUUUGGUGUGAAAUCUCCCGGCUCAACCGGGAGGGUGCGCCGAAUACUGAGGGACUUGGAGUAUGGGAUGGGAAAGUGGAAUUCCUGGUGUAGCGGUGAAAUGCGUAGAUAUCAGGAGGAACACCUGUGGUGUAGACGGCUUUCUGGACCAUAACUGACGCUGAGACACGAAAGCGUGGGUAGCAAACAGG
rnacentral:rRNA from 1 species